CGUCCUGCAGCUCACUCAGCGUAUUCUUCCUGGGGCUGUCCUUCCAGCGACCAGCGGUGCGUGCCAAGUGACGCUGAGGAGAGGUGUUACAGUCUCUGACCUGCUGUCUCAGCUCUUUCAGGCCCGUCAAAGCCUCCGCCUCCCUCAGCUUCACCCCAAUCAGCUCCUCUUGUAGACGCACAACAUUGGUGUCAUCUGGUAGCGACGUGUUCCUCUAAUGGAGGAUCUUGUCUUGCAUUUCCUUGAGAGCACACUGGGACUCUGCCUCCUUCAGCCUGGCCUGCACAAGCUCUCUCUCCAGCUGCAGAACGGACUCCUCAGAGAACCGAGGGGCUCCCUUCUACAACCAACAUGACAUGUGAUUGAGCAGAGACUGCAAAGCAGAGCUACAAGUGUCGAUACCUGUGUGUCCUCAAUGUCAGCAUUUAAUGAUGAACAAAAUAUUCAGCCUCCAGUGAUGUAAACCAGAGCCCACAAAUAAUUCCAGUCUAUUAAUAUACUCAUCUUAUGCCACAUACAUUAUAUUCUUCGGGAGAAAAUGCACCUCAUGGCAUCUUCACACUCUACUACACAGAACUCAACCUUAAUUUCUGAUGACACCAACCAUUUUGCCUUUCACUUACACAUAAAUAAUUCAUGACUGCUCAUUGUGAAACAAGAUUACACGUUAUGUAAAACAUGGUAAUGCCUGCACAUUAACAUCUGGAAUCCAACCAUCAAUAAUUAAGACUGUUAGGUCAAUAUAUAUGCAAGGAGAGGAUUGAGUGAACAGAGUGCCAUGUGUGAAAUCUACCAACCUGCUGCUAACAAAUUCAUGAAUGCAUUUCAGAGAAUGCAGAGGACUGUAAAUGGUGGCUGAACUGUGUAGUACUCCAUGUCCCGAUUUGAAUUCAUGCAUACCAAAACAGUUCAUUACACAAAGCCCAUGUGCAAAGUGAGAAAAGUCCUGCUCUGCCACUGCUUAGAUUGUGUUGAUAGGCAAUAUAUGCCAACCAUGACACAUCUGAACUCUGGUGAAAACAAACACAUUAUAACUGAUCCAGGUGGCAGUUCUAGCACACCAGAUAAUCUUUACAGCCUGAGGUUUCAGCACUGUACAAACACAAAGUGAUCUGGGAAAGAUCCCACUCUCAAUGUCACGGCUCCUGUCGCACACUGGGCAGGACCUGAGCCAGUGCAACCUGCCAGCUGGGGACUCUGUGGCCCU